GACGGGGGGGGCAAGUGUUCUUCGGAAUGACUGGGCGUAAAGGGCACGUAGGCGGUGAAUCGGGUUGAAAGUGAAAGUCGCCAAAAAGUGGCGGAAUGCUCUCGAAACCAAUUCACUUGAGUGAGACAGAGGAGAGUGGAAUUUCGUGUGUAGGGGUGAAAUCCGUAAAUAUACGAAGGAACGCCAAAAGCGAAGGCAGCUCUCUGGGGUCCCUAC
rnacentral:rRNA from 1 species